GGGGCCUUAGCUCAGCUGGGAGAGCGCCUGCCUUGCACGCAGGAGGUCUCUCCCAGCUGAGCUAAGGCCCCA
rnacentral:tRNA from 1 species